GGGAGCAGUAACCAUCAAGACGCCUUGACGUUAAUGCAACUUAUUUGAAGCUGCCUUGAUAAUUAAGUUGGCUGAGAUCUUUUUGGCAGGUGGGAGCAGAUGAUUUAUAUCUCGGUAGCAGCUGUUUUGCUAAACGGCCAUAUUUUAUCACUGUUAAAGUGAAAGCUGUCACUGAAAGGAUACAAGGUUAUUCUCGGUGUGGAACACUGCUAAAGUGCAUAACUUCUUCUUUCUUACUGGCAAUGUACAAUGAGGCCAAGAGGAUGCCAAAAAUUACUGUCAGGAAAAGGACCAAGGGCAUUAGGGGGCUGCUGCUCCUGCUUCCCAGGAAAAUCAUCUUGGCAAGAGAAAGACUAGCCUGGCCCCGUCCAUCAGCCAGUGAAGGAGCAGUUGCGAAGAACUUGAUUCACUACUCCCUGCUUGAAAGAAAAAUUUAUACCAUCUUUGUAACUGUGAAGCAGUACCCUAAGUAUACCUUUUUUCCUCCUCCCUCCUUUCCCAUCCACCCCUUUUCCUUUUGUGCUGUGUAUUUUAAAUUGUAAGCCCGGGACGGUUUCAUUUUUGAUUGUUGUAGGCUACUCUGGGAGCCUAUUUAAUAAAUAAUAAACAAACGA